rnacentral:rRNA from 1 species
GACGAACGCUGGCGGCGCGCUUAACACAUGCAAGUCGAACGGAAAGGCCCCAGCUUGCUGGGGUACUCGAGUGGCGAACGGGUGAGUAACACGUGGGUGAUCUGCCCUGCACUCUGGGAUAAGCCUGGGAAACUGGGUCUAAUACCGGAUAGGACCGUGCUUUAGUGUGUGCGGUGGAAAGUUUUUCGGUGCAGGAUGAGCCCGCGGCCUAUCAGCUUGUUGGUGGGGUAAUGGCCUACCAAGGCGGCGACGGGUAGCCGGCCUGAGAGGGUGUACGGCCACAUUGGGACUGAGACACGGCCCAGACUCCUACGGGAGGCAGCAGUGGGGAAUAUUGCACAAUGGGCGCAAGCCUGAUGCAGCGACGCCGCGUGGGGGAUGACGGCCUUCGGGUUGUAAACCCCUUUCGGCAGGGACGAAGCUUUUGUGACGGUACCUGCAUAAGAAGCACCGGCUAACUACGUG